rnacentral:rRNA from 1 species
GCUGCACGGCUGUCGUCAGCUCGUGUCGUGAGAUGUGGGUUAAGUCCGCAACGAGCGCAACCUCGUGUUUAGUUGCUAACAGUUCGGCUGAGAACUCUAAACAGACUGCCUACGCAAGUAGGAGGAAGGUGAGGACGACGUCAAGUCAUCAUGGCCCUUACGGCCAGGGCUACACACGUGCUACAAUGGGGUAUACAAAGAGCAGCGAUACGGUGACGUGGAGCAAAUCUAGAAAAUAGCCUCUCAGUUCGGAUUGUAGUCUGCAACUCGACUACAUGAAGUUGGAAUCGCUAGUAAUCGUAGAUCAGCAAUGCUACGGUGAAUACGUUCCCGGGUCUU